rnacentral:rRNA from 1 species
UACGUAGGGUGCAAGCGUUAAUCGGAAUUACUGGGCGUAAAGCGUGCGCAGGCGGUUGUGCAAGACAGAUGUGAAAUCCCCGGGCUUAACCUGGGAAUUGCAUUUGUGACUGCACGGCUAGAGUGUGUCAGAGGGGGAUAGAAUUCCACGUGUAGCAGUGAAAUGCGUAGAUAUGUGGAGGAAUACCGAUGGCGAAGGCAGCCCCCUGGGAUAACACUGACGCUCAUGCACGAAAGCGUGGGGAGCAAACAGG